rnacentral:tRNA from 1 species
GGAUACAGCUCAGUGGCAGGGCACGUGCCUAGCAUGCAUGAGGCCCUGGGUUCAAUUCCCAGUACCA